CUUCACAUGUGUCAGUAGAGAACCAUCCACGGUGGGCCCUCCAUGUACUCUUGCUGACAGAUGGAGGGAUCAGUAGGCCAAGUCCUCAGUUCCCAGGGCAUCAACAUUUCUACUCUUCCCGAGGCUUGAGACUUCCAGAUCCACUGGUUGGUGAUGAUGCCAAGUUCAAAGCCCACCUUGAGAUCAAAUUCCUGCAGUCUUCAAGUCAGUUUCCAGAAGAACAGAAGCUAGUGUUUGCACCAAGAAGUGAAGCAAAUGUCCCCCCAUGAAGGGACAGAAACAUUUGCUUCUGUCACUCAUCCAAGAUAAAUUCAAAUGUAAGGUCACUCUAGUGGGGCCAUGGAAGGAAAGGCUCUGGAUAACUAUUAUCUACUCUCGGUCUUACAAAUGCUCAUAAUGCGGUUUUAUUACUCAAGUAGAAGAAAAUCAAAUUCAUGAAGAUGAAGUAGAGGAGCAAGGUUCUUGUCUCAGGGAGUCGAAGAAUGAAUCUCGCAGCUGAAGGAGAGGGAGAAAAACGAAAGAGUUUUAUUAAGCAAGGGUAGAGAAGAAGCUCUCAGGAGAGAGCGUCAUGUAGUUUUGGAACAUAAGUGGUUUGGUGGGGUGAGGUCUGGAGCCGACAGCCAACAAAGAAUUCCUGAGACAUCUUUGGUGCAAAAUGGUGGUUUUAUUAAAGUAUGAGGACAGAAUCUGUGGGCAGGAAUGGCUGCUGCCCCAGGGUUGUGAGGGGUGGCUGAUACUUGGGAGUUGGGGGAGGUAAGGAAAAGGGAAGUUUUCAAGAUCUUUCUUUCUUUCUUUCUUUCUUUCUUUCUUUCUUUCUUUCUGUUGGGCUGGCUGAGAGACAGGGGCACCCAAAAUGGCAGACAUCUCAAAUUGGGUCAAAAUGGCUGAUCUUCCUGCCAAAGCAGCCAUGACCACCACGUCAUCUCCAGUAAAUCAAAGCCUAGAUGGGAAACCGAAUCUUUCCAUCCAGGACUUUCCAGCUAGGGACCACCUCCCCAUCAUCUGUACUAUCCCCACCCCCAGCCAAUCACCUAGGGAUACGGUGUUCCCUUGCCUAAUUUGGAUCCCCACCUGGAUCCAGACCCGGAACCAAUAGGCUUAAAUACUCCCACUCUUCCCAACCCC